AGUGAACGCUGGCGGUAGGCCUAACACAUGCAAGUCGAACGGCAGCACAGUAAGAGCUUGCUCUUACGGGUGGCGAGUGGCGGACGGGUGAGGAAUACAUCGGAAUCUACUUUUUCGUGGGGGAUAACGUAGGGAAACUUACGCUAAUACCGCAUACGACCUACGGUUGAAAGCAGGGGAUCUUCGGACCUUGUGCGAUUGAAUGAGCCGAUGUCGGAUUAGCUAGUUGGCGGGGUAAAGGCCCACCAAGGCGACGAUCCGUAGCUGGUCUGAGAGGAUGAUCAGCCACACUGGAGCUGAGACACGGUCCAGACUCCUACGGGAGGCAGCAGUGGGGAAUAUUGGACAAUGGGCGCAAGCCUGAUCCAGCCCUACCGCGUGGGUGAAGAAGGCCUUCGGGUUGUAAAGCCCUUUUGUUGGGAAAGAAAAGCAGCAGGUUAAUACCCCGCUGUUCUGACGGUACCCAAAGAAUAAGCACCGGCUAACUUCGUG
rnacentral:rRNA from 1 species